rnacentral:rRNA from 1 species
UCGGGCCUUGCGCGAUUGGAUGAGCCGAUGUCGGAUUAGCUAGUUGGCGGGGUAAAGGCCCACCAAGGCGACGAUCCGUAGCUGGUCUGAGAGGAUGACCAGCCACACUGGAACUGAGACACGGUCCAGACUCCUACGGGAGGCAGCAGUGGGGAAUAUUGGACAAUGGGCGCAAGCCUGAUCCAGCCAUGCCGCGUGGGUGAAGAAGGCCUUCGGGUUGUAAAGCCCUUUUGUUGGGAAAGAAAAGCAGCCGGCCAAUACCCGGUUGUUCUGACGGUACCCAAAGAAUAAGCACCGGCUAACUUCGUGCCAGCAGCCGCGGUAAUACGAAGGGUGCAAGCGUUACUCGGAAUUACUGGGCGUAAAGCGUGCGUAGGUGGUGGUUUAAGUCCGUUGUGAAAGCCCUGGGCUCAACCUGGGAACUGCAGUGGAUACUGGAUCACUAGAGUGUGGCAGAGGGUAGUGGAAUUCCCGGUGUAGCAGUGAAAUGCGUAGAGAUCGGGAGGAACAUCAGUGGCGAAGGCGACUGCCUGGGCCAACACUGACACUGAGGCACGAAAGCGUGGGGAGCAAACAGGAUUACAUACCCUGGUAGUCCACGCCCUAAACGAUGCGAACUGGAUGUUGGGGUGCACUUUGGCACGCAGUAUCGAAGCUAACGCGUUAAGUUCGCCGCCUGGGGAGUACGGUCGCAAGACUGAAACUCAAAGGAAUUGACGGGGGCCCGCACAAGCGGUGGAGUAUGUGGUUUAAUUCGAUGCAACGCGAAGAACCUUACCUGGUCUUGACAUCCACGGAACUUUCCAGAGAUGGAUUGGUGCCUUCGGGAACCGUGAGACAGGUGCUGCAUGGCUGUCGUCAGCUCGUGUCGUGAGAUGUUGGGUUAAGUCCCGCAACGAGCGCAACCCUUGUCCUUAGUUGCCAGCACGUAAUGGUGGGAACUCUAAGGAGACCGCCGGUGACAAACCGGAGGAAGGUGGGGAUGACGUCAAGCCAUCAUGGCCCUUACGACCAGGGCUGCACACGUACUACAAUGGGAAGGACAGAGGGCUGCAAUCCCGCGAGGGUGAGCCAAUCCCAAGAAACCUUCUCUCAGUCCGGAUUGGAGUCUGC